GAUGAACGCUGGCGGCGUGCCUAAUACAUGCAAGUCGAGCGAACGGACGAGAAGCUUGCUCCUUUGAUGUUAGCGGCGGACGGGUGAGUAACACGUGGAUAACCUACCUAUAAGACUGGGAUAACUUCGGGAAACCGGAGCUAAUACCGGAUGAUAUUUUGAACCGCAUGGUUCAAUAGUGAAAGACGGCCUUGCUGUCACUUAUAGAUGGACCUGCGCUGCAUUAGCUAGUUGGUAAGGUAACGGCUUACCAAGGCAACGAUGCGUAGCCGACCUGAGAGGGUGAUCGGCCACACUGGAACUGAGACACGGUCCAGACUCCUACGGGAGGCAGCAGUAGGGAAUCUUCCGCAAUGGGCGAAAGCCUGACGGAGCAACGCCGCGUGAGUGAUGAAGGUCUUCGGAUCGUAAAACUCUGUUAUUAGGGAAGAACAUAUGUGUAAGUAACUGUGCACAUCUUGACGGUACCUAAUCAGAAAGCCACGGCUAACUACGUG
rnacentral:rRNA from 1 species